ensembl:lncRNA
AGGUUAGUUUGCUGAGCAUUGUUCUAAACCCAGCUGUUCACUUAAAACAGGAAACUUGCAAGACAGAAGGACAUCACACUGAACAAAUCCAGGCUCCACCUCCACUUUACCUUGGUUUGAGUGCUUGCCGGUGCCAGGCUCCGGGUCCUGAGUGGCUCUUUGUUGCCUCAAAGACCAAACCCUGUCCAGUCAGACUUGCACAGCUCUCUGUCUUCAUUGGAACUGACUCAUUGGAAGAGACCCUGGUGCUGGGAAAUAUUGAAGUCCUCAAAGCAGCUCUGGGCCGUGUCUCAUCACCCACUUCUACACGUGUCCAACUCUGCAAUUCAGGAUCAGCAAUUGCCCUGAAUCUCCCAGCUCCUGAGUAGUACUGAGAGGACUUGAACCCAGGAUUCUGAUAACAAUUCACUGGCUCUUUUUUUUUGUUUUUUCCACCAUUUAGCAUAUUCCUAGGGAGAUGCCAUUUUCUCAAAUGUUUGGGCAAUGGCAGCUUGGUUUAAGUGCGGAAUAAGUGUGUGGCCUCACAAUUAGGAGAUAAAGGAGACCACUGUGGAGAAGACCACUGUUUGAAAAAAAACAUAAAAAGGCUUUACUAUCGUGGUGAUAUGCUUACCACACCCGCUUCUAUACCCAUGGACUCACUUUUCCUGCCUCUUGUCUGCAAGUUCCUCCUCCUCCCCUGUCUCUUCUCCUCCUACUUCUCUUUUCUUCACUUUUUUUUUUUUUCAUCUUUCUCAAUGAUCCCUCUCCCUGAAAGGGAGAAAAGGCUUUCCAGAGCCCUCUGCUUAUAUAAUUUCUUCCUCCAUUAAUCUGUUGUCAAUUAGUUAAUAAUUAAUUACUAAGUGACCUACUAAUACUGGUUUGUUAGUACUCCUCUGAUGGCCUUUAUCAUAUUCUGCCUUGUUGUCAUCAUUACUUGGGGACUUGUCUUAGGGCAUCUGUUCAAUUCUCGGCUGGAUGAGAACAGUUUCUGGGUUGGUCUCACCCAGCCUGAACUUCUCGUGUGGUAUCAGAGGCUGGGCCAGAGCAAGACACUGAUUUAGCUCAAAGGUGCUGACAGCAGCCCAAUUCCCUCACCAGCAAAUGUCAAGAGGAAAUAUCUGCCAUGGAGAGGCCCCAAGAGUGUGAGCCAGAGGCAUGUAUUUUUGUCCAAAGGAGGGAUGUUCCUAGUCUGCUCCAGCAAGAAAGGAAGAGACUGGCUGGCGUGAAACCCAAGGAGGAAGCUGACUUAGAGGCCACCAAGGCUAGUGCAUUGUAAUAGGAUAAGCUGAAGCUGGAAUUAUUAACAGGAAUUUGGUUGGAGCAGUAUAUGAAUCAAACGAAACUUCCUGAAAGUCGAUUAUGAAGAGAUGUGUUCUUCUUACCUUUAGAAUUACUUACUAUGCAUUCAUAAUGGCAACACCAACAUUUAUAAGGGAAAAAAUGUAUCCAGAAUCCUGUUACCCAGCAAGUCAGCUUUUUCCAGUUUUUUCUACACCCAGGUAAUUCACUGAUGCAUAGGUUAAAUAAAUGCUUACUG